CCAGAAAAUCAGCAACUUUUGAUACUUCGCCAAAUUUUCAGCAAUUUCAGCCUUUGGUCCGUUUUCGCUCGUUUUUGCUCGUAGGGCCUCUAAUUCAUCUCUAAUCGUACCGAGACCCCCAAAACAUAUUUUCGAGCGCAUUCAAACCAUCUUUUCAUCCAUGCCUUACCGGAUUUCGGCCAAGGUCCAAUCAUACCUUUUUGGGUUCCGUUUUCGCGCCCGACGCGUACCGAAAACACCCGAGUGCUUCUGAACUUCACCGAAACUACUCUAACAACUCUUUGAGCAAGUUCCCGCCGAAACUUCACAACUUUAGAAGUUCGGUACCUUACAAUUAUAUAGAUAUCAGACUCCUUCAUAGCCUCAUUUAGGACAUCCUCUAUUGAUGCCGAUGAUUUCGUGAGGUAUCAUAGGACCUUCAACCCCCUUCCUAUCGACUCCAUAUCCUAACUGAUAUUUCUCGUCUUUGGAGGCUAUUAGAGGAGGGAGGAAGCACCUCCUUCGCAUAACAAUGCAAUACAAAUUUAAGCACAAACAUUGCACAUCUUCUUUUGGAUGUAAAAUAAAGUAAAAAGAUAAGGAGAUCACUGAAAAAAAAGAAAGUAAAUAUGAAUAAAUGCAACAGAAAGCGAAGAGUCAUUUAAAAAAUAAAGUAAAUAUAAUUUUUUAGAGAACUGAACUCCCACCUUCCUCAAAUUAAGAGGAUACAUCCGCGUAGGAUUUAGGCAUAAAAAUUCAUGUAUAGGUAUAGAGGUAUAGAUGUAUAGGUGUAGAUAGAUGUCUGGUCCAUCACAUAUCUUUUUUAAAAAAAUGUACAAUUAAUAAAAAUAUUUUU
rnacentral:lncRNA from 1 species